ensembl:lncRNA
UCAUAAUUGUGUACUAGGAAUCUCCAUAACUCAUUUUAGUGAUGUGGCUAGGUGUGACAUUAUUGACAUUCCCCCACAUGUUAUGUUGCCAUGCAGACACUGAUAUGGUCAGUGGGUCAUUCAAAACAAUAUCAGAAAACAUUUGGUCAGUUGCCAUGGAGAACCACUUCAACAUAAUGCACUAACCAGUGCCCUACACACGAGACUGGGUCAACUCAUCUUCUUGAGAUUAUAAAUGCUGAAGGUGAGGUUAACAGAAACAAACAGAGAAAGAGCAUUGUGGAGGACAGAAAUGGUGGCGCUCAAUGUAAGAUGAGGAAGAUGUUGAUGUGUAUGCAUGCACAAUCUACAGUGAGGACUGGAGUCUGCUAGG